UAGUUUCUCCUGGCUCAGGACGAAGGCGGGCUUAACACCUAACACAUGCAAGUUGAAGGGUAAGGCCCCUUUGGGGGGGGAUCAAGUGGCGAAGGGUGAGUAACCACGUGGGUAAUUUGCCCUGCCCUUGGGAUAARCCCUGGAAAAGGGGUUUUAUUCCGGAAUAUAGAUCCGUCCCCCAGGGUGGGGUUUGGAAAGUUUUUCGGUGCGGGAUGGGCYCGCGGCCUAUCAGCUUGUUGGUGGGGUAAUGGCUCACCAAGGCGACGACGGGUAGCCGGCCUGAGAGGGUGACCGGCCACACUGGGACUGAGACACGGCCCAGACUCCUACGGGAGGCAGCAGUGGGGAAUAUUGCACAAUGGGCGAAAGCCUGAUGCAGCGACGCCGCGUGAGGGAUGACGGCCUUCGGGUUGUAAACCUCUUUCAGCAGGGAAGAAGCGCAAGUGACGUACCUGCAGAAGAAGCC
rnacentral:rRNA from 1 species